GCCCAGAUGGCGAAAUUGGUAGACGCGCCAGGUUCAGGUCCUGGUGGUGGAAACACUGUGGAGGUUCGAGUCCUCUUCUGGGCACCA
rnacentral:tRNA from 1 species